rnacentral:rRNA from 1 species
GACGAACGCUGGCGGCGUGCUUAACACAUGCAAGUCGAACGGAAAGGCCCUGCUUUUGUGGGGUGCUCGAGUGGCGAACGGGUGAGUAACACGUGAGUAACCUGCCCUUGACUUUGGGAUAACUUCAGGAAACUGGGGCUAAUACCGGAUAGGAGCUCCUGCUGCAUGGUGGGGGUUGGAAAGUUUCGGCGGUUGGGGAUGGACUCGCGGCUUAUCAGCUUGUUGGUGGGGUAGUGGCUUACCAAGGCUUUGACGGGUAGCCGGCCUGAGAGGGUGACCGGCCACAUUGGGACUGAGAUACGGACCAGACUCCUACGGGAGGCAGCAGUGGGGAAUAUUGCACAAUGGGCGGACGCCUGAUGCAGCAACGCCGCGUGCGUGAUGACGGCCUUCGGGUUGUAAACCGCUUUCGCCUGUGACGAAGCGUGAGUGACGGUAAUGGGUAAAGAAGCACCGGCUAACUACGUG